AUUAAAGUGGCAGAAUAUAUUGCGAGGAAUUU
rnacentral:tRNA from 1 species